GGCCGGUUAGCUCAGUCGGUUAGAGCGUGGUGCUGAUAACACCAAGGCCGUGGGUUCAAACCCUGCUUGGUCCC
rnacentral:tRNA from 1 species